AAAGCUUGCUUUUCUGAAUCUAGUGGCGAACGGGUGAGUAACACGUAGGUAACCUGCCCAUGUGCCCGGGAUAACUUCUGGAAACGGAUGCUAAAACCGGAUAGGUAGCAGACAAGCAUUUGACUGCUAUUAAAGUGGCCUUGGCCAUGAACAUGGAUGGACCUGCGGUGCAUUAGCUGGUUGGUGAGGUAACGGCCCACCAAGCCGACGAUCGGUAGCCGACCUGAGAGGGUGAUCGGCCACAUUGGGACUGAGACACGGCCCAAACUCC
rnacentral:rRNA from 1 species